UACGAAGGGUGCAAGCGUUACUCGGAAUUACUGGGCGUAAAGCGUGCGUAGGUGGUUUGUUAAGUCUGAUGUGAAAGCCCUGGGCUCAACCUGGGAACUGCAUUGGAAACUGGCUUACUAGAGUGCGGUAGAGGGGUGUGGAAUUCCCGGUGUAGCGGUGAAAUGCGCAGAUAUCGGGAGGAACACCAAUGGCGAAGGCAGCUUGCUGGGGACGGUACUGACGCUGAGACGCGAAAGCGUGGGGAGCAAACAGG
rnacentral:rRNA from 1 species